AGAAUCCACGCUGGCGGCGUGCCUAACACAUGCAAGUCGAACGCGAAAGGGGAGCAAUCCCUGAGUAGAGUGGCAAACGGGUGAGUAACACGUGGGUGACCUGCCUUCGAGUGGGGGAUAACGUCCCGAAAGGGACGCUAAUACCGCAUGACAUCCUGCUCUUGGACGAGCGGAGAUCAAAGCUGGGGAUUCGCAAGAACCUGGCGCUUGAAGAGGGGCCCGCGCCUGAUUAGCUAGUUGGUGAGGUAACGGCUCACCAAGGCUACGAUC
rnacentral:rRNA from 1 species